AUUGUAAAGCACUUUAAGUUGGGAGGAAGGGCAGUUACCUAAUACGUGAUUGUCUUGACGUUACCGACAGAAUAAGCACCGGCUAACUCUGUGCCAGCAGCCGCGGUAAUACAGAGGGUGCAAGCGUUAAUCGGAAUUACUGGGCGUAAAGCGCGCGUAGGUGGUUUGUUAAGUUGAAUGUGAAAUCCCCGGGCUCAACCUGGGAACUGCAUCCAAAACUGGCAAGCUAGAGUAUGGUAGAGGGUAGUGGAAUUUCCUGUGUAGCGGUGAAAUGCGUAGAUAUAGGAAAGGAACACCAGUGGCGAAGGCGACUACCUGGACUGAUACUGACACUGAGGUGCGAAAAGCGUGGGGAGCAAACAGGAUUAGAUACCCUGGUAGUCCACGCCGUAAACGAUGUCAACUAGCCGUGGGGAGUCUUGAACUCUUAGUGGCGCAGCUAACGCAUUAAGUUGACCGCCUGGGGAGUACGCCCGCAAGGUUAAAACUCAAAUGAAUAGACCGGGGCCCGCACAAGCGGUGGAGCAUG
rnacentral:rRNA from 1 species